rnacentral:RNase_P_RNA from 1 species
GAGGAAAGUCCAUGCUUGCAUAGACUGAGAUGUCUAUAGUGUUUGUGUAAGUAUAUAAAAAAUAAAACUUAACAACUAAAGAAAUUUAGUUGAUGGCGGAGAUUAAUUCUAAGUAGAUUUCUAUAUGAACUAAUUUCUAUAAAGUGCCACAGAGACGAGUUUUGUAGAAAUACAAAAAGUGAAACGCGGUAAACCCCUCAAGCAAGAAACCUAAAUUUCGGUAAGGGA